UACGAAGGGGGCUAGCGUUGCUCGGAAUUACUGGGCGUAAAGCGCACGUAGGCGGCUUUCUAAGUCGGGGGUGAAAUCCUGGAGCUCAACUCCAGAACUGCCUUCGAUACUGGAGAGCUUGAGUCCGGGGAGAGGUGAGUGAACUGCGAGUGUAGAGGUGAAAUUCGUAGAUAUUCGCAAGAACACCAGUGGCGAAGGCGGCUCACUGGCCCGGUACUGACGCUGAGGUGCGAAAGCGUGGGGAGCAAACAGG
rnacentral:rRNA from 1 species